rnacentral:rRNA from 1 species
GGGGAAUCUUGCGCAAUGCGCGAAAGCGUGACGCAGCAACGCCGCGUGAGGGAAGACGGCCUUCGGGUUGUAAACCUCUUUCAGUUGGGACGAAGCUUUUGCGGUUAAUACCCGUAUGAAGUGACGGUACCUUCAGAAGAAGCCCCGGCUAACUACGUGCCAGCAGCCGCGGUAAUACGUAGGGGGCAAGCGUUGUCCGGAAUCAUUGGGCGUAAAGCGCGUGUAGGCGGCUCAGUAAGUCCGCUCUGAAAGCCCGGGGCUCAACCCCGGGAGGCGGGUGGAUACUGCUGAGCUUGAGUCCGGAAGAGGCGAGUGGAAUUCCCGGUGUAGCGGUGGAAUGCGCAGAUAUCGGGAGGAACACCAAUGGCGAAGGCAGCUCGCUGGGACGUGACUGACGCUGAGACGCGAAAGCGUGGGGAGCAAAC